CAGUAGCCACGGUAAUACGAAGGGUGCAAGCGUUAAUCGGAAUUACUGGGCGUAAAGCGUGCGUAGGCGGUUUCUUAAGUCUGCUGUGAAAUCCCAGGGCUCAACCUGGGAAUGGCAGUGGAUACUGGGAGGCUAGAGUGUGUCAGAGGAUGGUGGAAUUACCGGUGUAGCGGUGAAAUGCGUAGAGAUCGGGAGGAACAUCAGUGGCGAAGGCGGCCAUCUGGGACAACACUGACGCUGAGGCACGAAAGCGUGGGGAGCAAACAGGAUUAGAUACCCCCGUAGUCCCUGUCUCUUAUAA
rnacentral:rRNA from 1 species